UACGUAGGGGGCUAGCGUUAUCCGGAAUUACUGGGCGUAAAGGGUGCGUAGGUGGUUUCUUAAGUCAGAGGUGAAAGGCUACGGCUCAACCGUAGUAAGCCUUUGAAACUGGGAAACUUGAGUGCAGGAGAGGAGAGUGGAAUUCCUAGUGUAGCGGUGAAAUGCGUAGAUAUUAGGAGGAACACCAGUUGCGAAGGCGGCUCUCUGGGACGGUACUGACGCUGAGACGCGAAAGCGUGGGGAGCGAACAGG
rnacentral:rRNA from 1 species